UACGAAGGGGGCUAGCGUUGCUCGGAAUCACUGGGCGUAAAGGGUGCGUAGGCGGGUCUUUAAGUCAGGGGUGAAAUCCUGGAGCUCAACUCCAGAACUGCCUUUGAUACUGAGAAGCUUGAGUCCGGGAGAGGUGAGUGGAACUGCGAGUGUAGAGGUGAAAUUCGUAGAUAUUAGGAAGAACACCAGUGGCGAAGGCGGCUCACUGGUCCGGUACUGACGCUGAGGUGCGAAAGCGUGGGGAGCAAACAGG
rnacentral:rRNA from 1 species